ACUCCCAGCACCCAAGAGGGGUGGCUCACAGUGCCUGUAACUCCAGUUCCAGCAGAUCCAAAACUCUCUUCGGGACUACACACACAUGACAUACACAUUUAGAAAGAAACCCAACUAAAAUUUUAAAACAACAAAAAGGCGGAGGUGGCUGAAACCGCCAAAGAACUGAAGCUUGGGUCAUUGAUGUGGGUUUUGUACAAAGAAAGUUUAGGUUGAAGCAGAGUUGAGAUGCGUAUGAACACUAGGAGUGACCGGACUGUUUGUUUAGAAAAUAUUUCAAACAAACCCAAGAGUGAUGUGAUUCCCAGCCUAAGCGCUCUCUCUCUCUCUCUCUCUCUCUCUGUCCUUGUGAUGCUGGGUGGUAGAGGAUAAUGAGGACCCUGCAGAUAUAACUGCAGAAGACUGAGGGCUGCCAGAGCUUCAUGUCCUAACUCCAUAGCCCCUCCCAUCCUGUGGAAGACACCUUGGUGGGUACUUGGAGUCAGUUUCAGAUGGUCUGGCCUCCUACCAUGGGUGGCAGUCAGCUUCUAUUCUUCAUGAAGAUGUUAGUGAGAUUUAGGUAGAAAAGGAAAGAAAUGAGAGAUCUCCAAGGUGGUCUUGUGGGUGCUGUGAUGGCCGAGCUUCAUGCUGGCUUUCUUCCUGACUCAGUCUGGGAGGGACACUUGUCACUUCCAACCACACCACAGUCCCCACCAUGAUCUUCCCUCUGGCUCAUGCUGAGUUUCACGCCACAGAGACAGACCACCAGCCCAUUCUCGGGGUAUUGUCAUUCCCUCAAACAGAGGCAGCCACUACAGAGAGGGCAUGUCCUCACCCAGGGUGACAGCGUUAGUACUAAGUUUGGGUCUCCAAGUGACGGUUUGCAGUAUGGAUGUAGGUACAGUGCUUGGUCCUGGACUUGGAAGAGCCCAGACUAACAUAGGAACCGGGAUGUGGAAGGAAAAAGAAUACCCCCCCCACCCCCACCCCUGAGGAGUAGCCAUUGGACUGAAGGGAUGGGGAGGGGGAUGGGAGCUGAUUAAGCAAUAGAUCCAUAAAGCCUUUGCCAGGGAGGUCUUUCAAAUGUCAGCAUGUCUCUCUGGAGGACUUGAGUAAAGAAAGCUCAAGGCUUGCUGACAUUAUCAGUGCUCUCUGUCACCUGGCUCUCCUGGCUCCCUUUCUAGCUC
rnacentral:lncRNA from 1 species